ACAAGCUGCGGUCUGAAAGGGAGCUCCAGGUAUAUUCCUCUGCUCUUAGAUCUCACAUGCAGUACCUGAUCACCCUCGUGUCAGUCAGCAGCACAAACUACUCUGAAGUGUAGCCACCCCUGCCAACACUCGUGCCAAACACCCGCUAGACAAGAAGCCAACUCACCUACACAUGUACUUCUGUCCUAGUGUGGGAACCUUCCAUUUAGGCAAAUCCUGCAGGCAU